GGAGGGGUCGCAUAGUGGACUAGUGCAGCCGCCUCGAAAGCGGCCAGGUGAUGAGCCUCGUGGGUUCGAAUCCCACCCCCUCCG
rnacentral:tRNA from 1 species